GGGUUUAAACUUUAAAGAGGGCUUUUAAAGUAGAUAAAAGUUUUUCUUGAGCAGCAUUUUAAUAUUUUGAUGUUACUUGGAGACAUCAGUUGACCAGGCAACCGGACACCACCCCACAGUUUGACAAGAACACUCUCUUGUUUUAUCUGAUCAUAUUACUAUUUUUAUGUCUUUCUUUUUAAUCUCUGGUUUUGGAUUUCAAGGUAUUAUGGCGAAUUCAGCAGCUUUUUUCCCUUAGUUUCUUCAAUAUUUUUUGCUGCUAGUUUCUCGAGA
rnacentral:misc_RNA from 1 species